GAAAUGCGAUAAUAUGCUUAAGUUCAGCGGGUAGUCCUACCUGAUUUGAGGUCAAGAUUGUCAAGUAAGGUUUAGAAAGCAGCAUUCCAGCAGAUGUCUAGGAUGUAGAUAAUUAUCACACCUGUAGACAGUUCCACCAAGGUACCGCUAAUUAAUUUCAGGGGAGCAGACUAC
rnacentral:misc_RNA from 1 species